rnacentral:rRNA from 1 species
GACGAACCGUGCAAACGUUAUUCGGAAUCACUGGGCUUAAAGGGCGCGUAGGCGGGCCGCCCGGUCCGGGGUGAAAGCCUCCAGCUCAACUGGAGAAGUGCCUUGGAUACCGGCGGCCUCGAGGGAGGCAGGGGCGUGCGGAACUUCGGGUGGAGCGGUGAAAUUCGUAGAUAUUAGGAAGAACACCAGUGGCGAAGGCGGCUCACUGGCUCGGUACUGACGCUGAGGCGCGAAAGCGUGGGGAGCAAACAGG